rnacentral:rRNA from 1 species
AGUGAACGCUGGUGGUAGGCCUAACACAUGCAAGUCGAACGGCAGCACAGUAAGAGCUUGCUCUUACGGGUGGCGAGUGGCGGACGGGUGAGGAAUACAUCGGAAUCUACUUUUUCGUGGGGGAUAACGUAGGGAAACUUACGCUAAUACCGCAUACGACCUACGGGUGAAAGCAGGGGAUCUUCGGACCUUGCGCGAUUGAAUGAGCCGAUGUCGGAUUAGCUAGUUGGCGGGGUAAAGGCCCACCAAGGCGACGAUCCGUAGCUGGUCUGAGAGGAUGAUCAGCCACACUGGAACUGAGACACGGUCCAGACUCCUACGGGAGGCAGCAGUGGGGAAUAUUGGACAAUGGGCGCAAGCCUGAUCCAGCCAUACCGCGUGGGUGAAGAAGGCCUUCGGGUUGUAAAGCCCUUUUGUUGGGAAAGAAAAGCAGCAGGUUAAUACCCCGCUGUUCUGACGGUACCCAAAGAAUAAGCACCGGCUAACUACGUG